UGGGGAAUAUUGCACAAUGGGCGAAAGCCUGAUGCAGCAACGCCGCGUGAGCGAUGAAGGCCUUUGGGUCGUAAAGCUCUGUCCUUGGGGAAGAACAAAAUGACGGUACCCUUGGAGGAAGCCCCGGCUAACUACGUGCCAGCAGCCGCGGUAAUACGUAGGGGGCAAGCGUUAUCCGGAAUUAUUGGGCGUAAAGAGUGCGUAGGUGGUUUUGUAAGCGCGGGGUGAAAGGCAAUAGCUUAACUAUUGUAAGCCCUGCGAACUGUGAAACUUGAGUGCAGGAGAGGAAAGCGGAAUUCCUAGUGUAGCGGUGAAAUGCGUAGAUAUUAGGAGGAACACCAGUGGCGAAGGCGGCUUUCUGGACUGUAACUGACACUGAGGCACGAAAGCGUGGGGAGCAAACA
rnacentral:rRNA from 1 species